rnacentral:rRNA from 1 species
CCAAUUAAUUUAACUUGGGAGUCAGAACAUGGGUGAUAAGGUCCGUGUUCGAAAGGGAAACAGCCCAGACCACCAGCUAAGGUCCCAAAAUAUAUGUUAAGUGGAAAAGGAUGUGGCGUUGCCCAGACAACUAGGAUGUUGGCUUAGAAGCAGCCAUCAUUUAAAGAGUGCGUAAUAGCUCACUAGUCGAGUGACACUGCGCCGAAAAUGUACCGGGGCUAAACAUAUUACCGAAGCUGUGGAUUGUCCUUUGGACAAUGGUAGGAGAGCGUUCUAAGGGCGUUGAAGCAUGAUCGUAAGGACAUGUGGAGCGCUUAGAAGUGAGAAUGCCGGUGUGAGUAGCGAAAGACGGGUGAGAAUCCCGUCCACCGAUUGACUAAGGUUUCCAGAGGAAGGCUCGUCCGCUCUGGGUUAGUCGGGUCCUAAGCUGAGGCCGACAGGCGUAGGCGAUGGAUAACAGGUUGAUAUUCCUGUACCACCUAUAAUCGUUUUA